GUUUGAUGCUCACUCCAUGAUAAAAACAACACGCAGGACUUUAAGAAAACUGUGACGGUCCAAAAAAUGCUCAGUUAAGAUGACACCACGUAUCAGUCCAAUGAAAGAUGCAAUGCAUCAUGUUGUUUCGAGAACAGACAAAAUAUCAAAACUUGAGGUGAAGUACAUUAAUCCAGUGAAAGGACGUGGGGUCUUUGCAAAAAGUUCAAUUUACAAAGGAGAGUUUGUAGUUGAGUAUUAUGGAGAAAGGAUUACUGAAGAAGAAUCUGAGAGAAGAAGGAGACUGUACCACCCUGCUUGUGCUGCUUUUAUGUUUGCAUUUAAGUGGCACGGCAAAACAUGGUGCAUUGAUGCCUCCAGAGAAGAUGGGUCACUCGGUAGACUCAUAAAUGAUGACCACAGACAACCGAACUGCAAAAUGAAAAAAAUUAAUGUGAAUGGAAAACCCCACCUUUGUUUGUUUGCGGUUAACGACAUUAAAGAAGGAGAAGAAAUC